rnacentral:sRNA from 1 species
GGUUUAAUUACCCAAGUUUGAGGUGUUGAUGGUUACAGCCUGUGUUUCGGCUGCUGUGGCUUGAUAUGAAAUUUUGGAACGUCCUACACUUGCGGGACAAC